CUUAUGACUAGUGCAAUCAUAUGGUCCGGCACAGGAAAUGGAGUAUAUGUUACAUUGCAUGAUGUGGAUGCAAUUCUGAGAGAUGGUGAUACUGCAAAUAAUGUCAUUGACAGCUUCAUAGAAAUGCUUGAGAUUGAGCAACAAGUCAAGAAGCCA